rnacentral:rRNA from 1 species
GACGAACGCUGGCGGCGUGCCUAAUACAUGCAAGUCGAGCGAAUGGAUUAAGAGCUUGCUCUUAUGAAGUUAGCGGCGGACGGGUGAGUAACACGUGGGUAACCUGCCCAUAAGACUGGGAUAACUCCGGGAAACCGGGGCUAAUACCGGAUAACAUUUUGAACCGCAUGGCUCGAAAUUGAAAGGCGGCUUCGGCUGUCACUUAUGGAUGGACCCGCGUCGCAUUAGCUGGUUGGUGAGGUAACGGCUCACCAAGGCAACGAUGCGUAGCCGACCUGAGAGGGUGAUCGGCCACACUGGGACGGAGACACGGCCCAGUCUCCUACGGGAGGCAGCAGUAGGGAAUCUUCCGCAAUGGACGAAAGUCUGUCGGAGCAACGCCGCGUGAGUGAUGAAGGCUUUCGGGUCGUAAAACUCUGUUGUUAGGGAAGAACAAGUGCUAGUUGAAUAAGCUGGCACCUUGACGGUACCUAACCAGAAAGCCACGGCUAACUACGUGCCAGCCGCCGCGGUAA